CAGUCGCCGCGGGAAUACGAAGGGUGCAAGCGUUACUCGGAAUUACUGGGCGUAAAGCGUGCGUAGGUGGUGGUUUAAGUCCGUUGUGAAAGCCCUGGGCUCAACCUGGGAAUUGCAGUGGAUACUGGGUCACUAGAGUGUGGUAGAGGAUAGUGGAAUUUCCGGUGUAGCAGUGGAAUGCGUAGAGAUCGGAAGGAACAUCUGUGGCGAAGGCGACUAUCUGGGCCAACACUGACACUGAGGCACGAAAGCGUGGGGAGCAAACAGGAUUAGAUACCCCCGUAGUCCCUGUCUCUUAUAC
rnacentral:rRNA from 1 species